GUGAAAGGAUCACUCACCUCCUUGGUAGGAGUGGGUUGGCAGCCCGUGCAGCCGCUGUUUAUUGGCUGUAUGAGUGGGCAUCUGCCAUAACGGUAAUUAUAAUGGGGCGCUAAGCGGUGGCUUUUAUGGGGUGUACCAUCAAGCCCUCCUGGUUAUGAGAGGAGAGUGGCAUGCUGCCAUGCCUUCUCUGACCUAUUGGUUGCGCUUUUCGUAU